rnacentral:rRNA from 1 species
UUGUUGGUAAGGUAAAAGCUUACCAAGGCUUCGAUCAGUAGCUGGUCUGAGAGGACGACCAGCCACACUGGGACUGAGACACGGCCCAGACUCCUACGGGAGGCAGCAGUGGGGAAUUUUGGACAAUGGGGGCAACCCUGAUCCAGCCAUGCCGCGUGAGUGAAGAAGGCCUUCGGGUUGUAAAGCUCUUUCAGCCGGAACGAAACGGUUACGGAUAACACCCGUGACUACUGACGGUACCGGAAGAAGAAGCACCGGCUAACUACGUGCCAGCAGCCGCGGUAAUACGUAGGGUGCGAGCGUUAAUCGGAAUUACUGGGCGUAAAGCGUGCGCAGGUGGUUUUGUAAGUCAGAUGUGAAAGCCCCGGGCUCAACCUGGGAACUGCGUUUGAAACUACAAGACUAGAGUGUGGCAGAGGGGGGUGGAAUUCCGCGUGUAGCAGUGAAAUGCGUAGAGAUGUGGAGGAACACCGAUGGCGAAGGCAGCCCCCUGGGUCAACACUGACGCUCAGGCACGAAAGCAUGGGGAGCAAACAGGAUUAGAUACCCUGGUAGUCCAUGCCCUAAACGAUGUCAACUAGUUGUCGGGCCUUUACGGGCUUGGUAACGUAGCUAACGCGUGAAGUUGACCGCCUGGGGAGUACGAUCGCAAGAUUAAAACUCAAAUGAAUUGACGGGGACCCGCACAAGCGGUGGAUUAUGUGGAUUAAUUCGAUGCAACGCGAAAAACCUUACCUACCCUUGACAUGUAUCGAAGCCCGCAGAAAAGCGGGGGUGCCCGAAAGGGAACGAUAACACAGGUGCUGCAUGGCUGUCGUCAGCUCGUGUCGUGAGAUGUUGGGKUAAGUCCCGCAACGAGCGCAACCCUUGUCAUUAAUUGCCAUCAUUUAGUUGGGCACUUUAAUGAGACUGCCGG